rnacentral:rRNA from 1 species
CCUACGGGAGGCAGCAGUGGGGAAUAUUGGGCAAUGGGCGCAAGCCUGACCCAGCAACGCCGCGUGAAGGAAGAAGGCUUUCGGGUUGUAAACUUCUUUUCUCAGGGACGAAGCAAGUGACGGUACCUGAGGAAUAAGCCACGGCUAACUACGUGCCAGCAGCCGCGGUAAUCCGUAGGUGGCAAGCGUUAUCCGGAUUUACUGGGUGUAAGGGGCGUGUAGGCGGGAAAGCAAGUCAGAUGUGAAAACCAUGGGCCCAACCUGGGGCGUGCAUUUGAAACUGUUUGUCUUGAGUACUGGUGAGGCAUACGGAAUGCCUAGUGUAGCGGUGAAAUGCGUAGAUAUUAGGAGGAACCCCAGUGGCGAAGGCGGUCUGCUGGGCAGCAACUGACGCUGAGGCGCGAAAGCGUGGGUAGCAAACAGGAUUAGAUACCCUUGUAGUC